rnacentral:lncRNA from 1 species
AUUUUUUCAAAAAGUCCCAUUAAUUUAUUACUUAAUUGAAUUCAACAAAUCAUAUGCUAAUCUAUUCUUCAUAUUGUCUCGCAGUGCACCCAUAUGCAAUUGUGUAUAUGUUGAUUGCCAGAGAAACACAACGGCCAAGUUUCGUCAUCACCUUUAUCGUUUAUGUCCCGCCAUUUUUAAUUUUUGGGGUUCGUUUUUUUUAUUUCAUUUUGAGUGAGAUCGAGGGGAGCUAUUUCAAAUAACCUGAUAGUGCCUUAUUUAUGUCACUUCAGUCUCUUACCAUCAUCCUGCUUUUGUUAAAUAUCACGACGCUUUUCGUUUAAAAUACUUCAAAAAAUCAGCUGUCAUCCUCCUGCUCAAAGUGAAAGUAGAGAGUCAGCAGCAAUGAUUCG